GGCGCUAUAGUGUAGUGGUUAUCACUUGGGAUUCUGAGUAGUGUUCCCAAAACCCAGGUUCGAGCCCUGGUAGCGCCU